CAAAUAUUCCCUCUGUCCAACAAAGGAUGUCUCAAGUUUGUCAAAAUUUGGAUGUGCGUAGACAUGACUUAGUGUAUAGAUGCAUUCAAAUUUAGUCAAAGUUGAGACAUCCUAUGUUGGACGGAUAGAGUAUAAG
rnacentral:pre_miRNA from 1 species